rnacentral:ncRNA from 1 species
GUUGAGUGUAAGUGCACAAGGGAGCUUGACUGUGAGACCGACGGGUCGAGCAGGGACGAAAGUCGGGACUAGUGAUCCGGCGGUGGCUUGUGGAAGCGCCGUCGCUCAACGGAUAAAAGGUACCCCGGGGAUAACAGGCUGAUCUUCCCCAAGAGUCCAUAUCGACGGGAUGGUUUGGCACCUCGAUGUCGGCUCGUCGCAUCCUGGGGCUGGAGUCGGUCCCAAGGGUUGGGCUGUUCGCCCAUUAAAGCGGUACGCGAGCUGGGUUUAGAACGUCGUGAGACAGUUCGGUCCCUAUCCGCUGUGCGCGUAGGAGUCUUGAGAAGGGCUGUCCCUAGUACGAGAGGACCGGGACGGACGAACCUCUGGUGUGCCAGUUGUUCUGCCAAGGGCAUGGCUGGUUGGCUACGUUCGGGAGGGAUAACCGCUGAAAGCAUCUAAGCGGGAAGCCUGCUUCGAGAUGAGGACUCCCACCCACUUGAUGGGGUAAGGCUCCCAGUAGACGACUGGGUUGAUAGGCCGGAUAUGGAAGCACGGUAACGUGUGGAGUUGACCGGUACUAAUAGGCCGAGGGCUUGUCCUC